rnacentral:ncRNA from 1 species
GGAGCCAGAAGAGGAGCGUUGCCCAGGCAGCCAGGGGGAGGAGUUCGGUCUCCGACGAUCCCGGGCCAGGGGGAGCAGCGCCGAGAUGGGAAGCAUACCGUUAUGCAUCCCGUCGGCUGCGGGGGCUGAAUCCCCCGGGCUGUCAUCGGUGAAGGGUUAGUCCUUCUCAGGUGGAGCGCUUCUGGCCGG